rnacentral:rRNA from 1 species
UACGUAGGGGGCAAGCGUUAUCCGGAUUUACUGGGUGUAAAGGGAGCGUAGACGGCGGUGCAAGCCAGAUGUGAAAUCCCGCGGCUCAACCGCGGAACUGCAUUUGAAACUGUCAGUCUUGAGUACCGGAGAGGUCAUCGGAAUUCCUUGUGUAGCGGUGAAAUGCGUAGAUAUAAGGAAGAACACCAGUGGCGAAGGCGGAUGACUGGACGGCAACUGACGGUGAGGCGCGAAAGCGUGGGGAGCAAACAGG